AUUAUUUUUUUCAAUUUCAAAAGGGCAAAAGACUCUCCUCGCUAUACUUUAGCAAUACUCUCCUCGCUAAAAUCUCUGUGGAUUAGGGUUUCUGGCUUCAAUUGUGGAUACUAACGAAUCUUCCAGAUUAGGUACUGUUUUGCACCUUCUCGCCCUCCUCAUUCCAGAUUGAAGAAAUUUAUAAAGCUAGAGAAACGGGAAUUCUUGAAUCUCAGGAUGAAUCAAGCGGUAGCUCUUAAGAGAAAAGUUCUGAAUCCAAACAAAGCUCAAAGUCCAAUGAAGAAUAUAGGUUUCGAUUUCCAAUACCGAUCAAGUGCUGAACUAGCCAAAAAAUUUCAGAUUAAGAGAGAAAAGCUUGCAAGUGAUCGCAACGAUAAAGCUACUAAAGAGCAUGCAUUACUUGGAGUUAAAAGAAAGAAUUGUAUGUCUGCAACAUUAGAAGGACAAAGUAGAUAGAAGUUAACUCAAUCUGAUGUGUCAGUUCAAAAGUUAUAAAGGAAUAGAUUACCGGCGUACGAAUCAAUCCAAUCGUCUUCAAGGGAAGAUCUGAACACUUCACAUAGUAUUGCAAGUAAAGGACAAAUUAAACAAAGGUCAAUUCAAUUGGAGGAGCCCAUUCAAAAGCAAGGAACAAGUAAAUUACCUGUGCCCACAUCCAUGAUCCAAUCAUCUGCAAAGGUAGAUCCUAACACUUUACAUAUUCUUAAAAGAACACAAGAUGGAGGAGAGAAACAACUUGAUAUUCAAGAGCUACAAAAUUGCGAAGUAUUAAUGACAAACUCAGUCCUACCGUCGACGAGUGUUAAUCAAUUUCUAAAAAAAUAUGGGAUACAAGUCGGUGGUGAAAAACAUCCUGAUAAUCACCCAGAAUAUGAAGUCAGAUUUAUGUCCUCUCUUAUUAUUGAUGAGCGUGAAAUAGAAUUGGAUAAUAAUGAUGCACAAGAUGAAGUUGGUGACGAUGAAUUUAUUGGAGAUGAGGAGAUGAACAUCGAUGGUGCUGCAGGUGGGACAUCAGAGAAGAAAAGAGUUCGAGGGAAAACAACAUGUAAGAAUAUUCAUGCAUGAAGUUUUGAAGAAAGAGAGGAGGUGACAUUUGAUAAAGGACAAGCAGUUGGACCAACUGACAAAAGAGUGUCUGAUUUGACCAACUUUUUAGGAACAAUUGCAAGGAAUCCAAGAUCUAUCCCUUGGUGCAUACUAGUUGGCAUGCUGUGUCAAAGAAUAUUAAGAAACGAAUGUGGGAAUAUGUCAAUUCCAAGUUCUUAAUUCCAGCUAAAGGAGAGAAGUGGGUAAUGACUGGUCUUCGUGAUGCUUGGAAGUGACACAAGAGAAAUAUUAAGAAGAAAUAUUUUGAUAAAAAUGCUACUAUUGACGAAAUUCUACAAAAUCGUCCCAAUGAGAUACCCAAAGUUCAAUUCCGUCAAUUGAUUGAGUAUUGGGAUUACGAAGAUGUCCAUCACGCAACCAAAGAGAACAACGAGGAACCAUUAAAGUCUGAAAUGUUUAUUACAACUCGUACAAAGAAAGGGAAGGAAGUUCAUACGGAUACUCAAGUUGCAAUAUCUGAACUUCAGAAUCGCCAAAGUUCUGAAGAAAUAGCAGAUGAUGCGUUUAGGGUUGUAUUUGGAAAGGAGCAGCCUGGUCGGGUUAGAUGCUAUGGUAGAUCGGUGACGACAAGCUCUCUGAAAAAAGAUGAAGAAAUCACCAAGCUUAAACAAAAGCAUGUCAACGAAAUAACUCUCUGAAGGAAGAAAUGAAGGAAAUGAUUAGGGAAGAAAUGCGAUGUUUUUUUAGUCAAUUGGUGAAAAACAACCCUGGACUAGAUUUUCGUGAUAUACAAGGGUGCGGUGGAUCUAAUAUUCCUUUACCGGUUGAUGCAAGUAUUGCACGAGCUAUGAGAGGAAAAAAUCUACAACAUUGUUCUGGCUCAACUCAUGCCCCGAGUAUUGAAAAGGAAAAUACAUGUGAUGCAAUUGGAAAUGGUGGCCACAAAUCAAUUUGAAUCAUUAAAGUGAAUGGUGAAGACCUUUUGAACAAGUUGUUUAUUUUUGUUGACACUAAAUAUGAGUACAUUUGAUUUUGUAGAGGUCUUUGCUAGUGAACUUCUUGAACCAACAUUGCUUUAUUACUAUAGAUAGUACACAAAGUGUGUUUCUUUUGUUGAAAUUUAUUUCAAGUAUAUGCAUUUGAAUUAUUUUUA